GUACUCCUUUAAUUGUAGCUGGUAUAUUUGCCAGAUGACAGUGAUUUUUUUUCAUUUUCAAUAUUCUUGUGUUAAAAUUCUCAGGUUACUGUCCUUGACUUGUGUUGUAUCAUGAAAAAAUAAGUGUAAGACAAAUGUUGUUUGGGAGAUGAUCUUGAGAUUGAUUAUCCUGGGAUUCCAACUAUUGCUAAAAAGAAAAGAGUAGCUAUUGAUUUUGUUGCUAUUAGCUCUAAAAAUCCAUUUAAUAUGGUGUGUCUGAAUACUAUACCUGAUAUAUAGACUAUAAAGGUUCGAGUUUGCACUUGAAAUUGUAGAGUGCAAAAUGCUUUGAUUAGUGCUCUUAAUGAACAAAUAGGAUUCUGGAUGGAAACAUGCCUUUGGAACUAAGGGGGAUGGUGGAGUUAAAAUGUACAUUAAGUACUAGACAGAAAUAAGUAAUUCUUUUGUAGUUGAGUUUAUUGUCAAGUCCAUCUACUUGUUCCUUUCGUUCUUAGUCUUUCCUUGGCAAGAUUGGAACAAUCACGUGAAUCUUAAAAGGUUUGAUACUAGAUGGUUCAUCUUGCCAGUGAAUCUUAAAAUCGGUGUUGGCUAUAUUUCUGACUGUAUUUCUGUCAUUGCAACCCUUCUUAUUAUAAUAAUUAAAAGAAAGUAAGGUUUUUUGUUUUGAUUAUUUCUUCAAAACUUGUUUCUAGGAUUGGAAAUAUUAAAAUGGUCUCCAUCAUCCUUCUAUGAGGCAUAACACUUGGGUUUUCAAUUGGUAGUUAACUCUUUAUUGGUAGUAAUCUUUUAAAUGUUAUGAAUAGGUUUUGUAUUAGCAGUUCAUCUGCUAUCAACUACAGUAGAACUUAGUUUGCAAUGUAAUGAUGCCUAAAUCUAUUCAUUUUUUAAUUAUAUACCGACGUGUAAUCUAACAGGAAUCCUUCCACCUUUACACCGCUGUGGAAUCAUGUCACCAAUAUUAGUUAGUAGCAUUUAUUCCUUCUCAGUGUUCCGUCGAUCAUUCAUAGUUUCAAGUCAUAGUUCGAAGCUUUCAACUUGUAAACAAUGCAUUCAGAUCAUUGCAUACAGAAUGGAAUUCACGCAGUCAAGCCUGACUACUACUGAAGUCCUUUGAAAUUGCUUUCAGCUACCAAGGGAAAAAAGGCUGGAUUGCUGUUUAUGGAUUAGGUCUGCAACAUUGUGAGUUUUAAUUUGGAUAUACCCUACGAGAGACACUAUUGUGUUUGUUUGGAGAAUCUAGUACAUGCCAGCUUUCUAGAAUCCCUAUUCAAGUUGUCAUUCUAGGACAACUCUCUUUUAGUGGAAGCUCUAACACAUGGUUCUUACAUGGUGCCUGAAGUCCCUAGAUGUUAUCUGGUGCUGUCUCCAAGUUCCAUGCCUAUGCGGUAACUGUCCAGGAUAUCAAGGAUACAAUAGCUUCUCGCAGCUUCACUAUCCAGCACACUCUCAGAGAAGGUAAUCAUUGUGCCGAUUACAUGGCUAAGCUAGGAGCCUCAUCUAAUUCUGAUUUCUCUGUCCAUUUGACACCUCCUCAUGACCUCCUCGGCUUGCUUAGGAAUGAUGCAAUAGGGACUUUCUUCCAAAGGGCUUGAGUUUCUGUUUUUUAUCUUUUCUGUCUUGUUUGUUUGUUAGCUUUGUAACCAAAAAAAAUGAUAUUCUGUAUGGAAGUUUUACUAUUAAAGCUGUUAUGAAUGCUUAAUUCUAGUAAGUAAUAACCAAUCAUUGGUUAGGGGAAGAGAAAUAUUCACAUGGUACGUUUUGUUCA